ensembl:lncRNA
UGGGUGGGCUCCAGCAUCCCCCUGUCAAUGCUCAGGAAUUACUUUGUUUAAGCAUAUUUUUAGUCAAAAUUCUUCUAAGACUACCAAUCCAUUUGUCCCCUAAAUAGGAUGUUUUGAUUAGGGACAACAGGAUGUUCCUUUGUGGCUACCAGGCAAGGUGCACAGAAGAAAAGAGAUGUAAGUCAAACGGAACAUGCAGAGGGGAAGGAGUGGUUGCUGGUCGACACAGCUGGUUCCUGACAGAGGAAGCCCACAUGGAGGCCCAGGUCCUACUCACUGCUGUCAUCUGCUGCUAUCAACUCAAGCAGAAUUGCUCCCUGGCCUCCCCAGAGACUGAAGCCCUGCAACACCAGAAAAAAACACACACAUAAACUGUAACAUCCAGGCACCAGAUACACACUUCUCUUUUGAGCUGCAGAGGCAGGCAGGGCAGGAGGAGGGUUCAGCUGUGAGCACAACCCCUCAGACAGAGCCACAAGACAAGCUGACCUGCUGCUGACACUCACUCACACGCGCUGCUGACUGUUUCGGUCACACUUCGGAAAAGAGAGAGAACGGAAACGUCAACCAGACAAGUGGUGGAAAAAAGAAAAAUCCAGGAUUUCCCAGGAAUAACACAGCUGAAACCUGCAACAACCUUGGAAAUCAACCCGGAAUUCUUCUGUCUCUCUUCAACUUUGGAGACCCAAUUUUCAGUUAUUCCUUCUGGAAGUUCAAUGGCUCAAAUUAUAAGUUCCUGGGGCAUCAGCAGAUGUUUAUAAUGUAAAAUUAAGGAAAAAAAUAAGGAGGACUUGCUUGAAAUUUGUUGACAAAAGAACAAGCAGAGAGAAAACUUCCCACAAAUUUGGAGCUAAAGGUGAGGCUUCAGCAACCUUUGUGUCCACACCAACUGACUGCCGGUCCAAAAGUCUCCAGACAGGCCAAACAUGUCUGCUGAGGUCCACUUGGAACACCACAAGAGAGCUGACCUGACAGCCGGGUCAUCCUACACUCCAUCGCUGGCUGCGCGCGUUCCCACGGUCACGCUGAUCAGCCCCCGCGAGCUGAGGGAGAAACACGCUGCUCACAGAGUCCAGCCCAGGAGCCUGGACCUUCACCUGACAGCCAGCAGCCUCUACAGAUGCAGUGAAGCCUUUCUCGUCACUCAUCAUCCAGCCUCGGCCGCUGGAUCUAGCUGACCAGAGCAGAAGGUGAAAUCACUCAGAGCCGUCCCCUGUUUUCCUUCUCCUCCCAGCCUCCAGAGCUGCUCUGCUGCUGCUGGAAAAGCCUCCUUUCUUGUUUGUCA